GGUGAUGGCCUGCCGAGGCCUUGUAAAUCUUCUCGGCAAGGGUGGCUUGCCGGGGCUCAGUCCUUCUUCCUCGUCGGGAGGGUAUCGCCGUGGUAUUAUCUAUCUCCCCGGCAGGGAGCUCCUGUCGGGGUCUCUUGUUCCUUCCCAGCAAGCGAGUGCUUGUCGGGGCUUGCGAUAUGCAUUUGCUAGCUUCUAAGUAUUGCUUUCGCCCUAAGCUCCAACGACGCGCCUUGCCCAUGUCGAGGGGCUGUCGGUAUCCGCGCACUAGUCCGGGGAACUAGAGACCCCAUUCUUUAGUGCACCGACAAAAACUUGCUAUAUUGUAGAGUUUUAUUGGUGUCAACAUGCCACGAGGUUAAAAACUGCAAGUGCAAACUGAGAUUUUGACCAAGUCCUAAUAUGUACUAUUUCUUGCCAUGUUGAGAGCUUGGUUGCCAUUGUUUCAUGAACCUAUCCAUGUUGUUGUUAGUUAGGGAUUGUUGUGAUCUUUGAUGGCUUCAUGUUCAUGUCUUUGGUGACCUUGUUGAGUUGUUGUAGCUACUAGUUUGAACUUGAUCAAGGUGGUAUGCUGUUGUUUGUGGUCAGAUUGGUUGCUAAAGUAUUUUGUGCUUUGUGUGAGUUGUGCUCCCUUUCUUUGCAUGAUAUUUAGAUAUAUUCCACCUGGAAUUUCGUGCCCAAUCCAGUGGAAUACUUAAAUUGACAAGAAAAUACCCAUAGCUCCCUAUCAAAUCCUGCUUAGUCAUUGUUGCCUUCUGUAUCUUGUUUCGUGAAUUCCAGGAGUUCCGUAGAUCGGUUACGACGUUCCUUAUAUGUUUUUGGACCAUUUUAUCAUGAUGGGUCAAUUCAUUCCAUGUUCAUGCAUUCCAACAUUAAUAUACUUGGGGUUCUUUAUAGAAUGCUAAACAACUUAAUAAAUGCAUGAUAAAGAUGACUACUUAGCAUUGCCAUGCUCCUUUCAUAACCACACUCAUGCAUCACAUUGUUUAAAGAAUUGCACCUUGCCGUGUGUUCAUUGGAUGUGUAUUUUAUUUGUGUAGAAAUGGGAGCUGAGAACGAGUGCGAGGAUCACGCUGACUAUGUUUCUAAAGAGCAAGAUAUUUACCCGUCAGAAGAACCAACAUGUAAGAUGACUCUGGCCUUGAUAUCGUUACUAAUUUCGUUGUGCUUAGUUCACUUGUUUCUUUCGCUAUCUAUCACUUCCUACCACCUGAAUAAAUAGGCUCCAAAAAUUGCCAUGAAAAGCAUCUAACCCUCCACAACCAAGGAAAUAUUGAUUAGCUAAGGUAGCGCUUGCUCAACCCUCUGAUAGCAUUGCUAGUUGCAGGUCCAGGCUGAUCCAUGUGUUAACAUGUGCUUUUCAAUAUCAUCUUAUUAUUGAUAUUUAAUUUAAUGCACCUAUAUACUUGGUAAAAGGCGGAAGGCUUGGCCAUUUGCUGGAUGUUUUGUUAUGCUUUUGACACUUAGUUUUGGCUACCGGUGUUAAGUUCCAUAUUGAGCGCUCCUAACAUGCUUGGGGUUGUCAUGGGGACCCCCUUGAUAACUCGUUUUGGUUAAGACUUGUCUAGCAAUACCCAACUUUGGUAGUCAAUUUUCUAAACAAAUUAAUAAUAAAAAUCAUAGGGAAUAGCUACCCCAAGGAUAAUUAAUCAACCCCGGGCCAGUGCUCCUCAUAAGUGUUUUUCCAACCAGAGCACUGUGCGGGGCCAACCUGGGAUAACUUGUGUGAUCUCUAUCAGGCCGUGCACACUAGCCUAUCCGUCGUAUCCUGAGAUUGAGAUACAUGGGUGUUCUCGGUUUCGUCAACAUGUCGGGCGGUCUUGCUAGAUUUGUCUUCAUCUCUUCGAGGUGUCUGGUGCAUCGGGAUUCCAAGGAGACUUUGGGCUAUCUCAAGGUUGAGGUUUUCCACUAAGGAAUCCGAGGAGUUCAUGGGUUUUCCGUGGUUGAGACUUCCUAUGCAGCUUGUGGUAGUUUGUGAUGGACUAGUUGGAGCACCCCUGUAGGGUUAAUACAUUUUGGAAAGCCAUGCCCCUGGUUAUGUAGCAACUUGGAAAAUUUGUUUAGCAUCCGGUUCUAUAUAACUUGAAGUAAACUUAAUUAAAAUAUGCUAACUGUGUGCAUUACCGUGAUUGUCUCUUUGGCGAGCUCCUUCUCCGGCUGAGGACAUGGUGGGGUUCCGACUAACGUAAGUAGGUGUUCAGGAUCACUUAGUGAUCGAUAGGUAGUUCCCGACCGGCAUGCAUUACGUUCUCGUAAGUUAGCCACCAUAUUUGGUUAGUAUUGCUGCAACCGAAACACUUAACCUUCCAUACCCAAUAACUUCUUUAGUUUCGGUCUCAUGGUCGCAAGAUUGCUGAGUCCCUAUGGCUCACAGAUUACUACAACACCACAGGUCCAGGUACCGUAGAUCGAGAGACGUUUGAUGCUACGCAACUUCAGCAGGAGUUCGAUGAAGGAAGUGGGCGCAUGUACGUGAUGUACCCUGACGAUUAGAGGACAUUGGACAUCUCCUGAGCUAGCGAGACAGAGUCAUUUCUUUUACCUUUUAUCUUAUCUGUAGUCAGAACGUGUGUUAUGGAUAAUUGGAUAAUGUUAUGUGGCUAGUAACUUAACUUGUGGUGAGUGUAAGCCAUUCCAUAUACUCAUCUCUUCAUGUAUGUAUUGCGAUGAUUUCUGUACUUGCGAAAUGCUAAGAUGCGUCUCUUCCCAUAUUAAGACCUCAUCCCCAAAUAGGGAAAGUGCCGCAUCUUGGACGUUACAUAUCAAGAGUUCAUGUAUU
rnacentral:lncRNA from 1 species